UCUGUGGAGUGUUAUAUCAAAUGUGAUUAGCUUGAUAUUAUCAAGCGAAAACAGACACUAAGAAGCAGAAA
rnacentral:sRNA from 12 species